UAAGUUAGAAAGGGCGCACGGUGGAUGCCUUGACACUAGGAGUCGAUGAAGGACGGGACUAACGCCGAUAUGCUUCGGGGAGCUGUAAGUAAGCUUUGAUCCGAAGAUUUCCGAAUGGGGAAACCCACCAUACGUAAUGGUAUGGUAUCCUUAUCUGAAUACAUAGGGUAAGGAAGACAGACCCAGGGAACUGAAACAUCUAAGUACCUGGAGGAAGAGAAAGCAAAUGCGAUUUCCUGAGUAGCGGCGAGCGAAACGGAACAUAGCCCAAACCAAGAGGCUUGCCUCUUGGGGUUGUAGGACAUUCUAUACGGAGUUACAAAGGAACGAGGUAGACGAAGCGACCUGGAAAGGUCCGUCGUAGAGGGUAACAACCCCGUAGUCGAAACUUCGUUCUCUCUUGAAUGUAUCCUGAGUACGGCGGAACACGUGAAAUUCCGUCGGAAUCUGGGAGGACCAUCUCCCAAGGCUAAAUACUCCCUAGUGAUCGAUAGUGAACCAGUACCGUGAGGGAAAGGUGAAAAGCACCCCGGAAGGGGAGUGAAAGAGAUCCUGAAACCGUGUGCCUACAAAUAGUCAGAGCCCGUUAACGGGUGAUGGCGUGCCUUUUGUAGAAUGAACCGGCGAGUUACGAUCCCGUGCGAGGUUAAGCUGAAGAGGCGGAGCCGCAGCGAAAGCGAGUCUGAAUAGGGCGUUUAGUACGUGGUCGUAGACCCGAAACCAGGUGAUCUACCCAUGUCCAGGGUGAAGUUCAGGUAACACUGAAUGGAGGCCCGAACCCACGCACGUUGAAAAGUGCGGGGAUGAGGUGUGGGUAGCGGAGAAAUUCCAAUCGAACCUGGAGAUAGCUGGUUCUCCCCGAAAUAGCUUUAGGGCUAGCCUUAAGUGUAAGAGUCUUGGAGGUAGAGCACUGAUUGGACUAGGGGUCCUCAUCGGAUUACCGAAUUCAGUCAAACUCCGAAUGCCAAUGACUUAUCCUUAGGAGUCAGACUGCGAGUGAUAAGAUCCGUAGUCAAAAGGGAAACAGCCCAGACCGCCAGCUAAGGUCCCAAAGUGUGUAUUAAGUGGAAAAGGAUGUGGAGUUGCUUAGACAACUAGGAUGUUGGCUUAGAAGCAGCCACCAUUUAAAGAGUGCGUAAUAGCUCACUAGUCGAGUGACUCUGCGCCGAAAAUGUACCGGGGCUAAAUACACCACCGAAGCUGCGGAUUGAUACCAAUGGUAUCAGUGGUAGGGGAGCGUUCUAAGGACAGUGAAGUCAGACCGGAAGGACUGGUGGAGUGCUUAGAAGUGAGAAUGCCGGUAUGAGUAGCGAAAGACGGGUGAGAAUCCCGUCCACCGAAUGCCUAAGGUUUCCUGAGGAAGGCUCGUCCGCUCAGGGUUAGUCAGGACCUAAGCCGAGGCCGACAGGCGUAGGCGAUGGACAACAGGUUGAUAUUCCUGUACCACCUCUUUAUCGUUUGAGCAAUGGAGGGACGCAGAAGGAUAGAAGAAGCGUGCGAUUGGUUGUGCACGUCCAAGCAGUUAGGCUGAUAAGUAGGCAAAUCCGCUUAUCGUGAAGGCUGAGCUGUGAUGGGGAAGCUCCUUAUGGAGCGAAGUCUUUGAUUCCCCGCUGCCAAGAAAAGCUUCUAGCGAGAUAAAAGGUGCCUGUACCGCAAACCGACACAGGUAGGCGAGGAGAGAAUCCUAAGGUGUGCGAGAGAACUCUGGUUAAGGAACUCGGCAAAAUGACCCCGUAAUUCGGGAGAAGGGGUGCUUUCUUAACGGAAAGCCGCAGUGAAUAGGCCCAAGCGACUGUUUAGCAAAAACACAGCUCUCUGCGAAGCCGUAAGGCGAAGUAUAGGGGGUGACACCUGCCCGGUGCUGGAAGGUUAAGGAGAGGGGUUAGCGUAAGCGAAGCUCUGAACUGAAGCCCCAGUAAACGGCGGCCGUAACUAUAACGGUCCUAAGGUAGCGAAAUUCCUUGUCGGGUAAGUUCCGACCCGCACGAAAGGUGUAACGAUUUGGGCACUGUCUCAACCAGAGACUCGGUGAAAUUAUAGUACCUGUGAAGAUGCAGGUUACCCGCGACAGGACGGAAAGACCCCGUGGAGCUUUACUGUAGCCUGAUAUUGAAUUUUGGUACAGUUUGUACAGGAUAGGCGGGAGCCUUUGAAACCGGAGCGCUAGCUUCGGUGGAGGCGCUGGUGGGAUACCGCCCUGACUGUAUUGAAAUUCUAACCUACGGGUCUUAUCGACCCGGGAGACAGUGUCAGGUGGGCAGUUUGACUGGGGCGGUCGCCUCCUAAAGUGUAACGGAGGCGCCCAAAGGUUCCCUCAGAAUGGUUGGAAAUCAUUCGUAGAGUGCAAAGGCAUAAGGGAGCUUGACUGCGAGACCUACAAGUCGAGCAGGGACGAAAGUCGGGCUUAGUGAUCCGGUGGUUCCGCAUGGAAGGGCCAUCGCUCAACGGAUAAAAGCUACCCCGGGGAUAACAGGCUUAUCUCCCCCAAGAGUCCACAUCGACGGGGAGGUUUGGCACCUCGAUGUCGGCUCAUCGCAUCCUGGGGCUGUAGUCGGUCCCAAGGGUUGGGCUGUUCGCCCAUUAAAGCGGUACGCGAGCUGGGUUCAGAACGUCGUGAGACAGUUCGGUCCCUAUCCGUCGUGGGCGUAGGAAAUUUGAGAGGAGCUGUCCUUAGUACGAGAGGACCGGGAUGGACGCACCGCUGGUGUACCAGUUGUUCUGCCAAGGGCAUAGCUGGGUAGCUAUGUGCGGAAGGGAUAAGUGCUGAAAGCAUCUAAGCAUGAAGCCCCCCUCAAGAUGAGAUUUCCCAUAGCGUAAGCUAGUAAGAUCCCUGAAAGAUGAUCAGGUUGAUAGGUUCGAGGUGGAAGCAUGGUGACAUGUGGAGCUGACGAAUACUAAUAGAUCGAGGACUUAACCA
rnacentral:rRNA from 1 species